CGAGUUUGAUCAUGGCUCAGAAUGAACGCUAGCGGCGGGCUUUAACACAUGCAAGUCGUACGAGAACUCUUUUAGCUUGCUAAAGACAGCAAAGCGGCGCACGGGUGAGUAAUGCGUGGGUAAUCUACUCUCUGAGUUUGGGAUAACUCCGCGAAAGCGGGGCCUCAUACCGGAUAAUAUUCCAGGAUCCCUCGGGUCUUGAAAUCCCUCUGUGGCCUCUACAUGUUAGCUACUGUUUGGAUGAUGAUCUCCGCGUACCAUUAGCCUGCCGGCAGGGCUAAUGGUUCUACCAAGUGCUAUUUAUGGUCAGCUGCCCCGCACAGGCACGACCUGUCCUCUCUGGAAUCCGCACCAACGGCCCAGAUUCACUUCGGGAGGCAGCC
rnacentral:rRNA from 1 species